GCCUGUAGCUCAGGGGAUAGAGCAUCCGCCUUCUAAGCGGGAGGUCACAGGUUCAAAUCCUGNNGGACCA
rnacentral:tRNA from 1 species